AUGUACAUUCUUACAACAUAAUGUUAAUACACCAGAUGCCAUUAGAAAUUUGCAUUUAAGCGCACUCGGUUUAGAGUAGUACUGGGAUGGGUGACCACCCAAUAAUUUCUAGUGUUUUACAUG
rfam:Picea glauca, whole genome shotgun sequence.